rnacentral:tRNA from 1 species
UGAUGACCGAUUUAAGGUGAUAAACUUUUAAUUUAUUUAUGAGUGUUCUCUCAUGCGUUGGUUA